AUUAGUUUGUGUUUUGGCUGUAAGUGUGUCUCAUUUUGCAGUAAAAAUUGACAUUUUUAUUUGGGCUAAUCGGAUCUCCUUGGCUUUUGAAGACAGCCUCAAGUGGACCCCUUUUUGGGCCUUAACUUUGGCUUCAAUAUUCAACAGUGAGUAUAUAUUAGCCUUGUUCGCACAUUGGUGCAUGAUAACUUUGAGUAAUGUUGGGAGUGAUACCCUGAAACUUUCAUAUCCUGAAGUUAGUAUAUGUUUGAAUUCAGUGAUUGAAUACCGUUAGAGUUUUUCCUCUCGUACGUGUUGCCACCUGUUUUCAAAAUAUGGUAUGAUUCUCAGACUCCUGUAGUCUGAUCACUAUCUGUGCAAAACAAGCUAGUUUUCUCUGGUUGCUGCUGCGCUUCAUCACCUUCUGAAGUGAAUGUGACACAUUCCUGUGCUUCAAGUGUUCUUGAUAAACAGAGGACAGUUUCCCAGUGACCAUGAUGAAAACACGAACAAGCUGCCACUCACGUGCUUUAAUGGAGCUAUUUGGCCAACAAAAUAAGUUUAUUAGUAAAGCUCAGGGUGUAACAGCUCCCCGGAGCACAUUAAUUCAAGGCUUUCUCCAUGUGCCUGCUUUUAUUCAUCAAGUCUUUAAAUGUGUCACUUAUCCCUCCUCAUAAACAUAAUGGUGAACAUUUUCUUUUGCUGUGAUGUGUCAAAAACAGAGGAUGAAUGGGGUAAGUGACUGCAGCCGGGUUGUUUAUGUGCAUUAGCAGAGGAAGAGACUGAAGCCCUUUGCUGGUUGAUGUAACAUAAUGGUAAUUGAAUUGUUGUUUUGGUACACAAAGCCCUCUUCCAAAUGUGCUGUAUUAUGCCUACAGCCUCUCUCAAUCUCCCCGCACAUACACACAUAUCUGCACAGACACACACGUACACACACACACAGACGCAGACUUUUAGGCACAGGGCCCGUGUUGCUACCCAGAGAUCUGGCAAGUUACUCCGCUCAAGAUCUACGUGUGCAUGUGUGUGUGUGUUGCCAGGGCAUUACAACAUCUCAUCAUUCUCUCAGCCAACCAAACACAGCAAUGGAUGCCGCUCGGUCUGGUUGUUUAUUAUUGCUUGAGAAAAAAAAGGUAAAAAUCAAAUCUUUAUUCUUGUAAACAAAUAUAAAACCAUUCAAUCAUCUUGGAAGAUGGCGAGAAUCUUCUUUUCAGUUCUUUUAUGUGCUCCUCCAUAAAGAAAAUCAAUACUUAACAAAAAUAUUACUUAUUCAAUGAAAGCUGUGAUCUUCCUCUCUCCCUUUUUCUCUUACACAGACGUGCUCAGUCUUCAGCCCCUCUGCUCUCUCUCCUAUGGAUCUUUUGAUGUCUCCCGUGCGUAAGAUCAAUAGACGGACUUUCUUCCCUGUUGGAUUGUACACUGAUCUGUUGUCGAAACAGGGCCACUGGCAGGUCUGCUGGGAAAAUGCACGCGCACACACACACUGACAUGAACACUCCAACACCAGAUGCUGACUGGAAAAUAAACCGGGAUAUAUUGACAAGAUAGGAUUGUGCUGAGUGAACCUUGACCUCCUGGAAACCAAUAUGACUGGCAGAUUGACCUGAGGGGAGGUGAUCUGAUUGGCAGGUUCUGUUUGAAUCUUGAUUUAUUGACUUUCUUUCUUUGGGAUCCUCCUGUGUGUAUUGUUAUCAGAAAUAUAUAUGUCAAGUGUAUGUGAGUGUCUUUUUGCUCAGAAAAAUAAGCUCGUGAACCACUGCUUCUUUCAGUUGAAAUGCACCUUUAAUCAUAUGAUUUGCUGAAAUGAAGAUUAUAAAAAUCUUAUUUGAAAGCACUGUAUGAUGAACCUUGCUUAUACACAUUUUUCAAAUGUCAUAGACUUACAGGGAGAAAUAUUAUAUCAAAUAUCAAAAAACAAAAAAAAACUUUUAUCACUUUGGUUGGCCUCUCCCACCCACCGGUCAUGCAUGCCCCUGUCAAGCAAACUUUCGGACUAUCGGACUCAGGGCAGAAACAGACUGAAAAAUACAUGCCAAAAAUGUGAUUAAGCAGUAACUGAUGCAUGCUGCACAGCUGUUCUCCCACUGCAACAAGGAGAAAGUUGGUGAAGGAGAGAAACAGACACAACUCACCUAGAAGCCAGAUGAUGCAAGUUUGUUCACAGUCACUGUGAUUGGCUUGUUCCAUGCAAGCUGAUCCUGAUUGGUUGUUUGAUUUAGACACAACCAGCAGUUUUUUUUUUUUUUUUGUUUUUUUUUGUGUUUUUUAUAUCAGUAUAGGGGUGUGGUGCCAAGAGAUACAGAGCAGGC
rnacentral:lncRNA from 1 species